rnacentral:tRNA from 2 species
GGGCCCGUAGCUCAGUCUGGUUGGAGCGCUCGACUCAUAAUCGAGUGGUCGUGGGUUCGAAUCCCAUCGGGCCCA